CCUACGGGGGGCAGCAGUGAGGAAUAUUGGUCAAUGGGCUUACGCCUGAACCAGCCAAGUCGCGUGAGGGAAGACUGCCCUAUGGGUUGUAAACCUCUUUUGUCAGGGAGCAACGCCGGCUACGUGUAGCCGGCCUGAGAGUACCUGAAGAAAAAGCAUCGGCUAACUCCGUGCCAGCAGCCGCGGUAAUACGGAGGAUCCGAGCGUUAUCCGGAUUUAUUGGGUUUAAAGGGAGCGUAGGUGGAUUGUUAAGUCAGUUGUGAAAGUUUGCGGCUCAACCGUAAAAUUGCAGUUGAAACUGGCAGUCUGGAGUACAGUAGAGGUGGGCGGAAUUCAUGGUGUAGCGGUGAAAUGCUUAGAUAUCAUGAAGAACUCCGAUCGCGAAGGCAAGUGUCCGGGGUGCAACUGACGCUGAGGCUCGAAAGUGCGGGUAUCAAACAGGAUUAGAUACCCUGGUAGUC
rnacentral:rRNA from 1 species